rnacentral:lncRNA from 1 species
AGGUUUGGACGUUUGAAGAAAUACAUAAUGCCUUAAAUUAUGCUUCUCAAAACCAUGGAAAGCACAACUAGCUAGGGAAAGCAAAGGUAAUUGCAUUAUGGAGUUAUAAUUUGCUACUACUUUUAGGUCUUGAAUGAGUAGCAUAGCAAUGUGUACUAUUUACCCCAUGUCUACUCAAGUGAUGGCUACACUGCUCAAGAGCAUAUCAUUGAAGAUUUAAAAUUUUCGGGAUAGGGUUAAUGACAAAUAUGAAGAGGGUCGUGACAUAAGUCAUCUUUUUGAAUUCAUGUUUGGGAAUAUUGAUGGUUUUGGUGAUCUUGAUAUUGAUAACCUUGAUGAGGAGCGUCUUGCUACCCUAGCUUAUAUACUUGGAUCAUAUUUUAACAUAUAUUGAUGUACACAACUACCAUCUCCUUGCUAUAUUUUUAUACCAUAUAUAAUUUU